ensembl:lncRNA
CCAUGCUGUACCCACUAAGGCUUUUUUCUUGUGCUCUCAUCCAGUCAGAGUGUGAGAUAUCAGCAGAGUCCAUGUGAUGUUAAAUCUGUGUGGUCCAACAAACUGCAUGCACAGGGGAGAUUGGAAUGUUCAUUGAUGCGAGUCAACAUCGUCUGUCUCUCUGUCUGUCUGUUUCUCUACUUAAUUACACAAGGUUUUAAUUGAAUUUCAAAAUCCCGGCCCUGCUAUGUGAGCUCAUGGUUAUUAAUGAUCUUCUCAUCAUUUCUCUCAGGAGAGAGAAAAGCAAUACCUAACUUCCUCUCCAAUGAAAAGCUUGGAAGUCAGAAUUUGGCUCUGUUUUUAAUCCUGCUGUGUUAGUAAGAUGACUCUGCAGUGUGGUUGCCAUGGAAACAAGGUCCUGUCCCCUGCAAGCGUGUGCUUGGGUCGAAAGAGUUCUCUAGUGAGCACUGGUUGGAAAAGCUGGUUACAGAUUGAGAGAGACGAUGACAGAAAGACAAGAGGCAUUGCUCCUGCAGCUGCUGCAGUACCUCCCUUUUUCUAUGAACUAAGCAAAAAAUUAACAGCAAAAACAGACUCAUCCGUCAACACCCAUUUAUACCACCGCUGUCCCUAAAGCUGAGUGAUAUGACAUAGUACAGGGAUUCAGCUCAGCAGGGUUAUAAUGAGACCUCCAGGGUGUUUGGCUUAAUGUGAACCGUGUAUACGUAUGUCCCACAUCUACAGCACAGCAGUCAGACGUUUCGGCUACUGUAGCGUCUCUGCACAUGAAGACGAAUGCGCCGCCUGAACAGCGAGCGUUAAGGUUUCCCUUCACUGGAACUAAGAGGCCCAAACCUGUCCCAGCAUGACGAUGUCCCUGUGCACAAAGUGAUGUCCAUGAAGACCAAAGUUGGGUUGGAAGAACUCGAGUGUCCUACACCGAGCUCUGACUGAACACCUUUAGGAUGAAUUGGAACGCUGAGUGUGCCUCGGAUGUUUAGGCGGUAAUAAUGCAGUGAAUAUUUCUCAGUCCUGUCAUGGUGUCCAUGGAAACCAAGAGGUCCGACAUCAGUGCCCAGAUCUCACUAAUGCUCCUGUGGCUGAACGAUCACAAAUCCCCAGAGCUAUGCUCCAUAAUCUAUUGGAAAGCCUUCCCAGAAGAGUGGAGGCUAUUAUAACGGUAAGGGGGAAUAAAUCUGGAAUGGAAUGGAGCAAGCACAUGGUGUGAUGGCCAUCAGGUGUUGACAAACCUUGUUUUCACCAUUUUUAAUGUUCUCCCUAAAGACUUUUCAAAUGACUUGAAAGAAAGGUCAGUAUUUUUGGCUUUAAAGCAUUUAGAUAGCAAUUCUCCUUCCUAUAUAUUCAUAACUUUAUUGCUCACAGCAAAGAUGGCCUCAAAAGGCACAUUUGACUAAAUACAGUGCUCUCCACUAAUAUUGGCACCCUUGGAAAAUAUGAGCAAAGAAGGCUGUGA